AUUGCCCCAGUAACGGCGAGUGAAGCGGCAAUAGCUCAAAUUUGAAAUCUGGCUCUUUCAGGGUCCGAGUUGUAAUUUGCAGAGGGCGCUUUGGUGUCGGCAGCGGCCUAAGUUCCUUGGAACAGGUCAUCAUAGAGGGUGAGAAUCCCGUAUGUGGCUGCUUGUCUUCACCGUGUAAAGCCCCUUCGAUGAGUCGAGUUGUUUGGGAAUGCAGCUCUAAAUGGGAGGUAAAUUUCUUCUAAAGCUAAAUAUUGGCCAGAGACCGAUAGCGCACAAGUAGAGUGAUCGAAAGAUGAAAAGCACUUUGGAAAGAGAGUCAAAAAGCACGUGAAAUUGUUGAAAGGGAAGCGCUUGCAGCCAGACGUGCCUGUAGUUGCUCAUCUGGGGAUUUCCCCAGUGCACUCUUCUAUGGGCAGGCCAGCAUCAGUUCGGGCGGUUGGAGAAAGACCUGUGUCACGUAGCUCUCUUCGGGGAGUGUUAUAGGGCAGGUGGAAUGCAACCAGCCUGGACUGAGGUCCGCGCAUCUGCUAGGAUGCUGGCGUAAUGGCUGUAAGCGGCCCGUCUUGAAACACGGACCAAGGAGUCUAACAUCUAUGCGAGUGUUUGGGUGUCAAGCCCGAGCGCGUAAUGAAAGUGAACGGAGGUGGGAACCCCUCGGGGUGCACCAUCGACCGAUCCUGAUGUCUUCGGAUGGAUUUGAGUAAGAGCAUAGCUGUUGGGACCCGAAAGAUGGUGAACUAUGCCUGAAUAGGGUGAAGCCAGAGGAAACUCUGGUGGAGGCUCGCAGCGGUUCUGACGUGCAAAUCGAUCGUCAAAUUUGGGCAUAGGGGCGAAAGACUAAUCGAACUAUCUAGUAGCUGGUUCCUGCCGAAGUUUCCCUCAGGAUAGCAGUAACGUUUUCAGUUUUAUGAGGUAAAGCGAAUGAUUAGAGGCCUGGGGGUUGAAACAACCUUCACCUAUUCUCAAACUUUAAAUAUGUAAGAAGUCCUUGUUUCUUAAUU
rnacentral:rRNA from 1 species